AAAAAAAAAAAAAUAUCAGCAUGUAAGAUAAGAUCAAUUUUAUUUCCUAUAGAGGACCCAUAAUGGGCAUAACCAGUACAGUGAUAUUCAUAUUAAAAAAAUACAAUAUAGAUAAUACAAACAAAAAAAACCCAUAACGUGAAAUAUACAUGAGUUAAUAAUAUAUGUAGUCAUAUAACCCGUAAUGUUUAGUGUUUCUUGACCAUGCACCAGAAGCAGCAUUACAUUCUUUAUAAAAUAGCUUUUAUUUAUAUUCUAGCACUUUUAAUCACAACAUGCAUAAAUAAAAAUC
rnacentral:lncRNA from 1 species